UACGAUACACAGGAUCCAUUGAUCUUAUCCUGUGUGCUGUCAUGCAUAUCGGCGCUGUUCAUAUUUCUCACGCUGGCACCAGAUACACUACCUGCCGUGCUUGACAAGAUUUUCUCGUCGGUGCUGUUCUCGCUACCCGGGCAGACGAAAGCGACGCGGAGUCGUUCGGUGAAGAACGUGCGUCGUCACGCCUGCUCCUCCCUCGUAAAGAUCUGCAAGCAGUAUCCCACUCUGCUGCUGGUAAUGCAGA
rnacentral:lncRNA from 1 species